rnacentral:rRNA from 1 species
GACGAACGCUGGCGGCGUGCUUAACACAUGCAAGUCGAACGGAAAGGCCCUGCUUUUGUGGGGUGCUCGAGCGGCGAACGGGUGAUUAACACGUGAGUAACCUGCCCUUGACUUUGGGAUAACUUCAGGAAACUGGGGCUAAUACCGGAUAGGAGCUCCUGCUGCAUGGUGGGGGUUGGAAAGUUUCGGCGGUUGGGGAUGGACUCGCGGCUUAUCAGCUUGUUGGUGGGGUAGUGGCUUACCAAGGCUUUGACGGGUAGCCGGCCUGAGAGGGUGACCGGCCACAUUGGGACUGAGAUACGGCCCAGACUCGUACGGGAGGCAGCAGUGGGGAAUAUUGCACAAUGGGCGGAAGCCUGAUGCAGCAACGCCGCGUGCGGGAUGACGGCCUUCGGGUUGUAAACCGCUUUAGCCUGUGACGAAGCGUGAGUGACGGUAAUGGGUAAAGAAGCACCGGCUAACUACGUG